rnacentral:lncRNA from 1 species
CUUGGCCUCCCAAAGUGCUGGGAUUACAGGUGUGAGCCACCGUGCCCAGCCCUCCAAAUUUUUUUUUUUUGGAGACAGUUUCCCUCUUGUUGCCCAGGUGAAGUACAAUGGCAUGAUCUCGGCUCAGUGCAACCUCCACCCCCUGGGUUCAAGAGAUUCUCUUGCCUCAGCCUCCCGAGUAGCAGGGAUUACAGGUGCUCACCAACACGUCCCGGUAAUUUUUGCAUUUUUAGUAGAGACGGGGUUUUGCCACGUUGGCCAGGCUGGUCUCAAAACUCCUGACCUCAGGUGAUUCACCCACCUCGGCCUCCUAGUGCUGGGAUUACAGGCGUGAGCCAUCGCAAUUGGCAAUUUUUUUUUUUUUUCUUGAGACAAGGUCUUGCUCUGUCACCCAGGCUGGCAAUAUCAUGGCUCACUGCAGUCUCAAACUUCUGGGCUCAGGCAAGCCUCCUGAGUAGCUGGGACUACAGGUGUAUGCCACCACACCUGGCUAAUUAAAAAUUUUUUUUUUUUUUGUAGAGACGGGGUCUCACUAUGUUGUCCAGGCUGGUUCUGAACUCCCGGACUCAAGCAAUCCUCCCACCUAGGCCUCCCAAAGUGUUAGGUUUACAGGUGUGAGUUACCAUGUCUGGCUUCCAAAAUAUGAAGUUUGGGAGGACAUAAACAUUUAGUCUAUAACAUAUAUUAAGUUGGUACACUACAAAGUAAGCAAAAGUAUAUACAUCCAAAUAGCUGGGAAAAGGUGAGAGCAUUAAGGACAAGCAAACAUGUGACUGUUUCUAGCCAUUUGCCAGAUUUACCUAUGAGCUUAACAAUGAAGCUAGAACUGAACCAAGCUACUGUUUUCUGACUAAAGAGAUGUCUUCGUAAGCAGUAAUGUGGGGUAACCCAUAAUGAGGAAAACUUAGUCAUAAAGGAGAAAAGCAAGAGAAACAGAGAAUUAGCAGGAUUUUUUUUUUUUAAAAAGAAUGAAUUCAUGAAACAUGAAAAAUGAAUGAAUUCGUGAAAACGGCAAAACAUAUUUUUACCAUUUCCGAUAUGUACAGUGACAAGUUCUUUUGAUACCAUGCCCUAGACUGUGUAUUACCCAUCUAUUCAGCAGUUAUCUCAACAGGUAUCAUGACAUUUUCAAAACCAAAAACUGAGUUUUUUUUUUUUUUUUUUUUUUUUUUAGAUGGAGUCUCGCUCUGUUGUCCAGGCUGGAGUGCGAUGGCACUAUCUUGGCUCACUGCAAACUCCGCCUCCCGGGUUCAAGCAAUUCUCCUGCCUCAGCCUCCUGAGUAGCUGGGAUUACAGGCGCCUGCCACCAUGCUCUGCUAAUUUUUGUAUUUUUAGUAGAGACAGGGUUUCACCAUGUUGGCAAGGCUGGUCUUGAACUCCUGACCUCAGGUGAUCUGCCUGCCUUUGGCUUCCCAAAGUGCUGGGAUCCAAAAUAGUUUUAAUUAACUUUGACUGAGGAAUAGAUAUCACCUAGUUGGUUUUUUUUUUUUUUUUGGAAGGAAAAAAGUGAUACCAAAAUAUCUUAACACUUAUAAGGAGUCAAAAGUCCAAAACCAUUUAGAAAUUAAUUGAUUUUUUAAAAGCCUUAAGUGGCUGAGUGCGGUGGCUCAUGCCUUUAAUCCCAGCCCUUUGGGAGACUGAGGUGGGCAGAUCACCGGAGGUCAGGUGUUCCAGACCAGCCUGUCUAACAUGGCAAAACCCUGUCUCUACUAAAAAAUACAAAAAUUAGCCCGGUGUGGUAGAGCACAACUGUAGUCCCAGCUACUCAGGAGGUGCACGCCAACAUGUCCGGUGGAAGGAUGGCUUGAGCCUAGGAAUUUGAUGCUGCAGCAAGCUGUGAUACUGUGCCACUGUACUCCAGCUGGGGUACAGAGAGACACUACCUCUAAAUAAAUAACCUUAAGUGUUUUUUCCAAAGAUAUUGCUUAUGACUUUCAAAAGAGAUAUACAGAGUGGUGGCUGCAGUGGCUCAAGCCUAUAAUCCUAGCACCUUAGAAGGCUGAGGCAGGUGAUCACUUGAAGUCCAGAGUUUGAGGCCAGCCUGGCCAACAUGGUAAAACCCCAUCUCUACUAAAAAUACAAAAAUUAGCCAGGUGUGGUGGUAGGCGCCUGUAAUCCCAGCUACUUGGGAGGCUGAGGCUGGAGAAUCUCUUGAACCCAGGAGGCGGAGGCUGCACUGAGCAGAGAUCGUACCACUGUACUCCAGCCUGGGUAACGUAGUGAGACUCUGACUCAAAAAAGGGGUAUAGUCACUUAAAUUUGUGUAGAUCAGGCACUAUUAGCACAGUUUUCCAGAUAGUACUGAUUACUUAAACAUGUCAAAAUAAUUAUUACUAGUAGUUGAGUCCUUACUUUUCUAAGCACUUUAUAUUUAUUUAGUCCUCUCAAAUACAAGGUAGAUUCUAUCAUAUUCCCCAUUUUAUAGGGGGGAACUGAAGUAUAGAGAUUAUGCAACUUCCAAGCAGCUGGGCCUCAAAGAUUAAGAUGCUCUAGAAAUCAUGAUUUGUAAAAUGAAUAAGAAGUUUGGCAAGUCAGAGACCCACAGGCCAUAUCUCUUUUCCUCCUCCUGCUACUUUUACUCCAAGUAACUCAGAUAAUUAUUCCUGAAAAUCUUUCUUCACACCCUGAUAAAAAUCCCCAGUUUAGAUGGAAUUCAUAGCCCAAUAUCCCUUUCUCCCUCCCUGUACCACCUCAGCACUGAAGCAAGAUUAAUUAAACAUCUUUUUUUUUUCUUGAGUCUUACUCUGUAGCCCAGGCUGGUGCAGUGGUGUGAUCCUGGCUCACUGCAGCCUCAACCUCCUGGCCUCAAGCAAUCUUCCCACCUCAGGAUGAGUAGCCGUCACUACAGGCAGCACCACCAUGCCCGACUAAUUUUUGUAUUUUUUUGUAGAGAUGGGAUUUUGCUCUAUUGCCCAGGUUGGUCAAAAAUCAUUUUCAGUUCCUGUAUCAGGGAACUUUUUAAAAAAAUUAGUGAUUUUUUCCUCCUUACCAUGUUAAUUUUCUGCAACUCAAACAAAGGCUGAAGUAUCCUUUUAGAUUCUACUAAGCUUGCACAUUUGCCCAAAAAAAGUGUGGGUGGAGCUGUUUAUAGUCAUUCCAGGUUCCUCUCCAGGUUUGCUGGUCAUUUGACAACCUAAGCAACCAUGUUUUUACUAGUUGUAGGUGUGUAGCUGCAGGAGCAGCAGCAGAAAAAUUCUAUAUCCUGAACAAAUUCUGUCAACUGAACCCCAUUUCUCUCAAUUUAACCAAAUGAUAUUGUUACUGUUCCUGAAAAUAUUAAUUAAGACUUGAAAUAAUCUGCCCUUCAAAAGCUGGUAGGUAAAAAUCCAAAAACUUGGCAGCACUCUAAUCCAUCAGCAAUGCUGGGGUGAAAACAUUUAGUACAUAGAGGGCAAAUUAAAAAUACAUAUAUGCCUUUUUGCAGAGCAAUUCCACCUGUGGAAACUGAGAUGAGACAUAUUUAAAUAUACAAGGAAAGAUGUACAUCCAAGGAUAAUCAUUCAAGCACUAGAGUACAAAAGAAACUCAAUGUCCCUAAACUGGGUGAUAACCAAAUAAUGUGCAGUGGUUAAGAAAAAAUGUCGCCUUUUUGCACUGAGAUGGAAAAGCCAUCUCAAGUCCAAUGUGCAGAAGGGUUUGUACGGUAUUUUCUCCUACAUAAAAAUGGGGGAGGGGGAAUAAGAACAUUUAUUCUCACAUAUGUAUGUAUGAAAAAAUGUGUAUGUGGAAAAAUAUACAAGAGGCUGGGCACUGUGAUUCAUGCCUGUAACUCCACUUUGGGAGGCCGAGGCAAGCGAUCACCUGAGGUCAGGAGUUCAAGACCAGCCUGGCCAACAUGGUGAAACCCCGUCUCUACUAAAAAUAUAAAAAUUAGCCGGGCGUGGUAGCACGCGCCUGUAGUCCCAGCUACAUGGGAGGCUGAGGCAGGAGAAUUGCUUGAACUCGGGAGACGGAGGUUGCAGUGACCCAAUAUCACGCCACUGCACCCCAGCCUGGGCGACAGAUCGAGACUAUGUCUCAAAAAAAAAAAAAAAAAAAAAAAAGAAAGAAAGAAUAUGCAAGAAACAAAAAGUAGAGGUUACUUCAGUAGUGAUAACUGGAUGGGUGGAAGUGAUGAUUAAAAAAUUUUUUUUGAACCAGUGAAUGCCUUAUCUAUUCAAAUAAUUUUUAAAAAUUGGCUAGAAGCUCUAAUCAACCAACCAACAACUAUUAAAUGCCUGCUUGUCUUAAAAUAGAGUCUACAGGCUAGGUAGCCCAAAUGCAACCUUAACUCUGAGAUACAAAAUAUAAGGUUGAAUGAGUGGCUGUGCCUAAACAAUUUCUGGAAAUCAAAGUUCUUGGUGCCUCUGGGGAAUUCUGAUAUCAGUGACUUGGCCAAAGAAUUUCACUUGCUUACUGGUGGUCUUCUCUAGAACUCACGAGCAGGGAGACAAAUGGAGAUAGGGUGAGAUGCUCACCCAACAAAGUGAAAAAUUUUCAGCAGUGUGUCUGCCAAAAAUCCACACAUUAUUCAUCUGCAAACCUAAAAACAGGUAGGAAGGAACCAGUAAUUGUUUUAUGGUACAGAAUUUUUAAAAAAUUUUCUUUAAUGUUAUAAUGCUAUUUGUAUGGUAAAUGAGUUUAAUAAAUCUGAUAAGAAAAAGUCUUCCUCAUUGAUUACAGUAGUUUAUACAUUUUAAGGAGAUACUGAUGCUUUUCAAAAGGCAUGUGUUCAUCACCAGGAUAAGUUAUCUUUCAUUCCAAGUAUUAAUGACCUUUGAUUGGCAAAACCAUAUUGAUCUUUUCUCUUAGAAUUUCAGGUGACUAAAACUGCACUGUAAACACAGUGAACAAAAUUAAAUAACACUGCAGUGUUUCCCAAUGUGCAGGAUCCAUACCACUGGUGAUAAUCAACAUAGGCAGUACAUGAACAAAGCAGUAAAUAACAUUGAAUCACACAGCAAGAAAGUUAUUCCUGUUUACAGGCCAGGCGUGGUGGCUAAUGUCUGUAAUCCCAACACUUUGGGAGGUCAAGGUGGGUGUCUCGCUUGAGCUCAGGAGUUCAAGACUAGCCUGGGCAACAUGGCAAAACCCCAUCUCUACCAGAAAUACACAGAAUUAGCCAGGCAUGGUGGCUGCGCUUGUAGUUCUAGCUGCUAAGGAGGCUGAGGUGGGAGAAUCACCUGAGCAUGGGAAAUCCAGGCUGCAGUGAGCUGAGAUCUUGCCACUGCACGCCAGCUUGGGCAACAGAGUAAGACCGUGUCUCAGAGAAAAAAAAAGCUAUUCUUCAUUCAAGCCUUGAGAUUCGAAGUGCUUGGUUGGCAAGAGUAUCUAGAUAGAAUUUAAUAACUGGUUUGUUUUCAUUAUACUAAUUUUUACAUUUACUAUCUUGACUUUUUCCCCCCUUAUUGACAGGCGUUUACAUUUGUCUGGAUUACCCACAUUCACAGACGCGUUAAGACAGGAGUGCAGGUGCUGCUAUGUUAUGGGAACCCCUUAGUCAAAAAACACAAAAAUCCAAUGGUCUUUUCCCAGGGCUUAUCUUUACUUGAGCUAAAUUCUCCCCAUGGUCUUCUGUAACACACACUUAGCCUCUCCAGGAAUGGUGUAGUACACAGAAUAAACUGGAGUCAAGCUGGUUUUGAAUGCUGGUUCUUUUUACUGCUUUUUGAGUCUACAAAGCCAGUCUAUCAAGUGAGGCUAAAAUUGGCUACCUUGGAAAUGGAAAGGAAUAAAUGAGAUAGUAAAUGUAGAGCAGCUGCCAUACAGUUUAACAGAUGCUCAAUAAAUGCUGAUUUGCUUUCCUCCUUCGCUUCUCCUUCUCUGUCCUUCAGUACUUUUCUCAAUAUUCUCUCUCACUGGUUUCCUUCACUCUCAUGGCUUUAUUACCCUUCUAUGGAUGGGUAACUUCUAAUUUUCUAUCACCAAUUCUGACCUUUUUUCAGAGUACCAAACCUUAGCUUUUGUGUGUUUAAUAAUUCUACCUUGAUAUUCUGGCAUCAUCUUAAACUCAAUCCAUACAAAAUUUCUCUUUCUACAAAAAACUUGAAGGCAGUGGGGGUAAGGUGAGAGAGUCACAGGAGUUGGAGUGAGGAGCCACAAGUUCUUUUUUUUUGUCCACAUCAUGGGAUUUUUUUUUAUAAGUUCACUGGUUUUUAGUCUAUGUUCUAUCUACUCUAAUCACCUGAACAUGUUUCCUAGCUUAAUUUCAUGUUUUUCGUCUGUGAUGGAGUGAUAAAAUGAACAUUUUCUGUUUAUAACUUUUUGCAAGCUUAAAAAAUGCCAUAUAAAAUUGCUAUUGACAUCUGAUUCAACAUGGUGGGAUGAGGGAAGGAGUUAAGGAUGAGAUUUUGAGCCUGAGUUCUGCAGUGUCUUUUGCACCUGUCUCGCCUUUCCUUCACCAUUGUCAUUCCCCAGAAUUCAGGCCUACCUUAUCUUUCACAUUUGUGAUGCAUUUACAGAAAAAUUGGCUCAGUCAGGGAAGUAAUAGUUGGUAGUGUGUAUCCAGCAUUGCUCACGAGUUUUAAAAAUAACCAUGAAAUAUAUAAUAUACAUACUGAAAGUACAUUUUUCUCCAAAAAACCUACUUCUCAUUAAGUCAUAGAGUGCUAACACUCAUGUAAUCCCAGUGUCUUAGAAUGUUCGGCUUAUUUGGCUCACGGUUUUGCAGGCUGUACAAGAAGCAUGGUAGCAGUAUCUGCUUCCAGUGAGGGCUUCAGGCUGCUCACGGUGGAAGGCAGACAGGAGAUGACAUAUGCAGAGAUCACAUGGCGAGAGAAAGGAGAGAGGAGGUGCCAGUCUCUUAAUGAACUCACUCCUUACAGAAUACGAAGCCACUCAUGAGAAAUCCACUCCCACAACCCUUCCCACCAGGCCUCACCUCCAACACUGGGGAUGAAAUUUUAACAUGAGACUUGGUAGGGUCAGACAAACCAAACUCAAGCCAUAGCACCCUACUUAGGAACAGAACAUCAACAGCACUCCAGAAGCACCUAUUACCUCCCAAGCACUACUCCCUGCAAAGCUAACUAUUUCUUUUCUUUAUACUUUUACUACCUAAACAUAUAUCCCUAAAUCUAGAUUGGUUUGCCUGUUUGUUGAACUUCCCAUUUUCCAAAGUGGUUAUACCAAUAUACAUUUCCAGCAGCUGUGUAGUUUCAGUUACUCCAACUCUUGACCAACAUCUGGCAUUUUCUGGGUUUUCCAUUUUAGCCAUUCUGUUGGAUGUGAGAUUAAAAUAUCAUUUAGGUUUUAAUUUGCAUUUCUCUAAUGAUUAAAUUAGUUGAGUAUCUUUUACAUGUUUAUCGGCCAUCUACACGCCCCUUUUAUAUUUUUUAAGAAACUAAUAUUUAGAUACCCUUUUUUGUGAGGUGACUGUUUAAGUUUCUACCUUUUUUUUUUUUUUUUUUUUUGAGAUGGAGUCUUGCUUUGUCGCCCAGGCUGGAGUGCAGUGGCACGAUCUUGGCUCACUGCAACUUCUGCCUCCUGGGUUCAAGCAAUUCUCCUGUCUCAGCCUCCCGAG